GUCCUAGUGUGCUGUAGUGGUUUGAGCACUUGACUAGGACUCCAGAGACCAGGGUUCAAAUCUCCACUCAGCCA